CAAACUGGGAGCUCUGUUUUUCCUCUGGCUUUCACUCCCGAGCCUUGUCUGUCUGUGGAGGAGAGUGCCCGGCUGCGCUGGGCGGAUAUUUGGGAUUCUAAACGCGGCGUUUUUGGGGGGAGAGACGAGGAGGGGCUGUCACUAACCCCGCUCUCCAGAGGGCCAGGUGAGCAGCGGGAGGCUGCCUGGGCUCCGGAUUCAGGCCACAGACGGUGAAUGACACCAGAACAAAGUUCAGGUCAGCCCUCAAAGCUCAUUGCCAUCCCRAAAGCAUGAAAGCAGAUGCACACGAUGGAUGAAAAGCCAAAGAUAUCGAUCACUCCGUGCAUCGCCGGCAGCCAGCUGUUGUGGCAGCAGGCAGCCGGGGCUGUGCUGCAGUCACACACGAGGGAACGAGCAGGGAGCACCGGAGCUGGCACCGCCUGGGUUCCGUUCCCGGGAGCUCCGUGCCUGCCCCAGCUCGGCCACGCCGCUCCGGGCGCGCUGCCGGUGCUCCCCUGUGCCCCGGCGCCGUGCCCGGCUGGCUGUCUGCUGUGUGUCUGCAACAACCUGCUGCUCUCUGCCGGGUGUCACAGUGUCCCCGCCGCUCCUCUGCCGGGCCUGACACUGUCCGUGCCGCCGGAACGCCGGGCCAUUGCCGGGACAUUGCCGGGACAUUGCCGGGACAUUGCCGGGACAUUGCCGGGACAUUGCCGGGGCAUUGCCGGGGCAUUGCCGGGGCGCGGGGCUCGGCUCGGCCCGGGCUGCACGCAGCAAAGAUGUGAACCCGGACUGAGCUUCCUCUGCUACUCCCUCUGGGUUCCUCCUUUGGAAAGCAGCUCCAGAGGAAGCAACAGGGMAGGAAUUCCUAAAUUUCUGUGGCUCUGUUUGCACCCCAGGAGCUGCUGGAGCCUUUCAGAUGACCCUGCUGUGCCACAYCCUGGUGGCUCUGCCCAAGGGGAGAGGUGACAGCUCCUGGCAUGGAUGAAGACAGGUCCAAAGUGACAAGGUCUAUCUAGUUACCAGGAAAACAAAGAACCUAUUCAGUGAUGAACAGAGAUUAUUAUCUGCUCUACAGAACUCCUGCUGCUGUCCCAGACUGCUGAAGCUCAAGGACCUCAAUUCAAGUUCUGAGACUGAGAGUAGAAAAAAAAUCCA